rnacentral:rRNA from 1 species
CCCGUAGGGGGCGAGCGUUGUCCGGAUUUAUUGGGCGUAAAGAGCUCGUAGGCGGCUCAGUAAGUCAGGUGUGAAAACUCCAGGCUCAACCUGGAGACGCCACUUGAUACUGCUGUGGCUAGAGUCCGGUAGGGGAGCAUGGAAUUCCUGGUGUAGCGGUGAAAUGCGCAGAUAUCAGGAGGAACACCAGUGGCGAAGGCGGUGCUCUGGGCCGGAACUGACGCUGAGGAGCGAAAGCGUGGGGAGCAAACAGG